UGUUCAAAGGACGAUGAAAUCUCAGUAUCUGGCAUCUUUGGUUUCCUUGACGUUGUGCAUGGUAAACUUGGUAUUUCUACUUUUAUCAUA
rfam:Tupaia chinensis contig10766, whole genome shotgun sequence.